rnacentral:lncRNA from 1 species
CUCAGGAAUUGAAAGUUUACUGAAUUUCUAAUUUUCUUUCACAUUCAUGAAUUACUUUCAUUUCUAAGUUAAAAUUGUAUUAAAAAAUAUACUUAAUGCUGGUAUCGAUACCACCCGAUACCAAGUAGUCGAUACUACACGGUAUUCAAUUAGACAUUCAUGAUAAUUAUAAUCCUGUAGUUGUAUCGUCGUUUUCAUGGUUAUUUCUAAUAAAAUUUAUGUACUUUUUUGUAUUUUGCUGCAUUUAUCAAACUUCCUUUACUUUAUUUGACAUUCUAUCCACUUCCCUUAUUAAUAUUCCUGACCUCGUCGACAGAAUAAAUUAUUAAAAAGGAGGG